CCAGCAGCCGCGGUAAUUCCAGCUCCAAUAGCGUAUAUUAAAGUUGUUGCAGUUAAAAAGCUCGUAGUUGGAUUUCUGGUUUGAUGCCCUGGCCCGCUGCAAAUUUUGUAGUGUGUGCCGGCUGUGCGUCUGCCAUCCUUCUAGAAAACGUUCCUACCCUUCACUGGGCCGGGUUCGAGAUCUAGAUCUUUUACUUUGAAAAAAUUAGAGUGUUUAAAGCAGGCAGUUGCUAUGAAUACAUUAGCAUGGAAUAAUAAUCUAGGACUUCGGUUCUAUUUUGUUGGUUUCUAGUACUGAAGUAAUGAUUGAUAGGGAUAGUUGGGGGUGCUAGUAUUGAGCGGCCAGAGGUGAAAUUCUUGGAUUCGCUCAAGACUAACUUAUGCGAAAGCAUUCACCAAGGAUGUCUUCU
rnacentral:rRNA from 1 species